AACGAACGCUGGCGGCAGGCUUAACACAUGCAAGUCGAACGAUGUAGCAAUACAUAGUGGCGCACGGGUGAGUAACGCGUGGGAAUAUACCAAUCAGUGGGGAAUAACUUUGGGAAACUAAAGCUAAUACCGCAUACGCCCGAGAGGGGAAAGAUUUAUCGCUGAUUGAUUAGCCCGCGUGAGAUUAGGUAGUUGGUGGGGUAAUGGCCUACCAAGCCUACGAUCUCUAGCUGGUCUGAGAGGAUGAUCAGCCACACUGGAACUGAGACACGGUCCAGACUCCUACGGGAGGCAGCAGUGGGGAAUAUUGGGCAAUGGAGGAAACUCUGACCCAGCCAUGCCGCGUGAAUGAUGAAGGCCUUAGGGUUGUAAACUGCUUUUAUACAAGAGAAAACCCUGGUACGUGUACCAGGUUGAUAGUAUUGUAAGAAUAAGCAUCGGCUAACUUCGUGCCAGCAGCCGCGGUAAU
rnacentral:rRNA from 1 species